CUGCCCACCGCUGCCGCCUGUUGAACAUGGCAGCACCAGCGGUGGCAGUUAUUAUGGAGACGUCGUUAUUUAUCACUGUGACCCUGGAUACGAGAUCAGUGGUGAUGAAGAACGAACCUGCCAGUCGGACCAGACGUGGAGCGGCACACAGCCGACAUGCAGCCGAAAAGCCUGCCCUGUACUACCAGUUCUAAACAACGGCAGCAGGACCGAAGGUCAUCUGUACGGAGACAAGGUCACGUAUUUCUGUAAUGAAGGCUACGAACUGAUUGGUUCUGAAAACAGAACGUGCCAGGCUAACCAGAGCUGGUCGGGAACACAGCCUAAUUGCUCCAGAACGUCCUGCCCACCGCUGCCGCCUGUUGAACAUGGCAGCACCAGCGGUGGCAGUUAUUAUGGGGACGUCGUUACUUAUCACUGUGACCCUGGAUACGAGAUCAGUGGUGAUGAAGAACGGACCUGCCAGUCGGACCAGACGUGGAGCGGCACACAGUC